rnacentral:rRNA from 1 species
UGGGGAAUAUUGGACAAUGGGCGAAAGCCUGAUCCAGCCAUGCCGCGUGAGUGAAGAAGGCCUUAGGGUUGUAAAGCUCUUUCAGCGGGGAAGAUAAUGACGGUACCCGCAGAAGAAGUCCCGGCUAACUUCGUGCCAGCAGCCGCGGUAAUACGAAGGGGACUAGCGUUGUUCGGAUUUACUGGGCGUAAAGCGCGCGUAGGCGGAUAUCUAAGUCAGGGGUGAAAUCCCAGGGCUCAACCCUGGAACUGCCUUUGAUACUGGGUGUCUGGAGAUCGGGAGAGGUUGGUGGAAUUCCGAGUGUAGAGGUGAAAUUCGUAGAUAUUCGGAGGAACACCAGAAGCGAAGGCGGCCAACUGGCCCGAUACUGACGCUGAGGCGCGAAAGCGUGGGGAGCAAACAGG